UCCUGGCGACUAUAGCGAUUUGGAACCACCUGAUACCAUCUCGAACUCAGAAGUGAAACAUUUCCGCGCCAAUGAUAGUGUGAGGUCUCCUC
rnacentral:rRNA from 1 species